CUUCGUUUGAAUAGAAGUGCAACUUUGUAACUUCACUUUAGCCUCUGAUUGCAGGCCACCACUUCAUUUACAUGGGGUGAGCACCAAUGCGUUUUGUUCAAUUCUUUGUUCAAAACCCCAAGAAUCUGGACAACUUGCACUCAAGACCCUCUACGGGUUUGGCGAGCCAGGUAGGAGGAAGCCCAAAGUAUGGGAUUUAUUUUUCUCCUUUCUUCUUUUCCUCUCUGCUACAUACAGGGGAAUCUUUCUCUCUUUCUUUUCCUUUCCAACUCGGGACUCUUGGUGAACAGUGCCUAAGC
rnacentral:lncRNA from 10 species